UGGGAACAGCUAGCGUAGGGCUAAAUGUGCCAGGUUAUGUAAUGGGAACAGCUAGCGUAGGGCUAAAUGUGCCAGGUUAUGUAAUGGGAACAGCUAGCAUAGGGCUAAAUGUGCCAGGUUAUGUAAUGGGAACAGCUAGCGUAGGGCUAAAUGUGCCAGGUUAUGUAAUGGGAACAGCUAGCAUAGGGCUAAAUGUACCAGGUUAUGUAAUUGGAACAGCUAGCAUAGGGCUAAAUGUGCCAGGUUAUGUAAUGGGAACAGCUAGCAUAGGGCUAAAUGUGCCAGGUCAUGUAACGGGAACAGCUAGCAUAGGGCUAAAUGUGCCAGGUUAUGUAACGGGAACAGCUAGCAUAGGGCUAAAUGUGCCAGGUUAUGUAAUGGGAACAGCUAGCAUAGGGCUAAAUGUGCCAGGUUAUGUAAUGGGAACAGCUAGCAUAGGGCUAAAUGUGCCAGAUUAUGUAAUGGGAACAGCUAGCGUAGGGCUAAAUGUGCCAGGUUAUGUAAUGGGAACAGCUAGCGUAGGGCUAAAUGUGCCAGGUUAUGUAAUGGGAACAGCUAGCGUAGGGCUAAAUGUGCCAGGUUAUGUAAUGGGAACAGCUAGCGUAGGGC
rnacentral:lncRNA from 1 species